UUUAAUUGUUUUAAAGAUUAUUUUGUUGAUUUAAGUGACAAUUAGUUGAUUAAUUUCCUUAACAAAGCACUUUUCAUCGGAGAAAUUUCAACUAAGUUUGAAGGAGUGUUCACAUUCAUUUCGUAAUGUUGUACAAUGUUCACUACAAGCGCAAGGGUCAAAAAGAUAUCGUUAUGAAAAAAUAAUCAGAAGUAGUUCUACGUAACAGUUUACGUAACAGAAGUAUGAUUCAUUUAGGCACGUUAUAUCCUGCCUUAACGUUAUAUUAGUUAAAUUGAAAGGCAGUUUUUUCACUUAACAAAACUCAUCAAAAUUGAAAGAUUAGAACCUGUUUUAAAACGAGUAUUAUCGUCAUGUCUACCUUCAAUAUCACAAUGCAAGAGUGUAGUGAUAUAAAAAUGGGAGAUACGAGUAAAACUGUAAUUGUUGAUAACACCGAAAAAGUUAAGUUAAAGAUAUGCCAAGAUAAGCUAAUGAACAGAUACAAGACUACUUACGCAUAUAUGAGUUCCUCACUCUGGAAGGAAGGACACAAUGACUUUCCAAUUAAAGAAUGUUUUGUUGACGUUAAACUUCAAAAAACAGAUAUGAUAGGACGAAAAACGGGUGAAAUUAUACAAA